AAAAAUUUAGUUAAUUAAUAACAUCAAUUUGUCAAAUUGAAAUAAAUAUAAAAUAUUAAUUUUUU
rnacentral:tRNA from 1 species